rnacentral:rRNA from 1 species
GACGAACGCUGGCGGCGUGCCUAAUACAUGCAAGUCGAGCGCAGGAAAUCGACGGAACCCUUCGGGGGGAAGUCGACGGAAUAAGCGGCGGACGGGUGAGUAACACGUAAAGAACCUGCCCUCAGGUCUGGGAUAACCACGAGAAAUCGGGGCUAAUACCGGAUGGGUCAUCGGACCGCAUGGUCCGAGGAUGAAAGGCGCUUCGGCGUCGCCUGGGGAUGGCUUUGCGGUGCAUUAGCUAGUUGGUGGGGUAAUGGCCCACCAAGGCGACGAGGCAUAGCCGACCUGAGAGGGUGAUCGGCCACACUGGGAUUGAGACACGGCCCAGACUCCUACGGGAGGCAGCAGUAGGGAAUCUUCCACAAUGGACGAAAGUCUGAUGGAGCAACGCCGCGUGAACGAUGAAGGCCUUCGGGUCGUAAAGUUCUGUUGUAAGGGAAGAACAAGUGCCGCAGGCAAUGGCGGCACCUUGACGGUACCUUGCGAGAAAGCCACGGCUAACUACGUGCCAGCCGCCGCCGUAA